AUAAAGGCCCUUUUCAGGGCCACACACUUUUUCUUCUAAAGACUGU
rfam:Sarcophilus harrisii ctg7180002498289, whole genome shotgun sequence.